rnacentral:rRNA from 1 species
AGCGAACGCUGGCGGCAGGCUUAACACAUGCAAGUCGAGCGGGCGUAGCAAUACGUCAGCGGCAGACGGGUGAGUAACGCGUGGGAACGUACCUUUUGGUUCGGAACAACACAGGGAAACUUGUGCUAAUACCGGAUAAGCCCUUACGGGGAAAGAUUUAUCGCCGAAAGAUCGGCCCGCGUCUGAUUAGCUAGUUGGUGAGGUAAUGGCUCACCAAGGCGACGAUCAGUAGCUGGUCUGAGAGGAUGAUCAGCCACAUUGGGACUGAGACACGGGCCAAACCCCCACGGGAGGCAGCAGUGGGGAAAUAUUGGACAAUGGGCGCAAGCCUGAUCCAGCCAUGCCGCGUGAGUGAUGAAGGCCCUAGGGUUGUAAAGCUCUUUUGUGCGGGAAGAUAAUGACGGUACCGCAAGAAUAAGCCCCGGCUAACUUCGUGCCUGCCGCCGCGGUAAUAC